AAAAAUUGCUCAGUUACCCCGAACAAGCCGGAUCCUAUCUGAUCUCGGAAGAUAAGCAGGGUCGGGCCUGGUUAGUACUUAGAUGGGAGACCACCUAGGAAGACGAGGUGCUGUAGGUG
rnacentral:rRNA from 1 species